UACGGGGGGAGCAAGCGUUGUUCGGAUUUACUGGGCGUAAAGGGCGCGUAGGCGGCCUCCGCAAGUCAAUUGUGAAAUCUCCGAGCUUAACUCGGAAAGGUCAACUGAUACUGCGGGGCUAGAGUGCGGAAGGGGCAACUGGAAUUCUUGGUGUAGCGGUGAAAUGCGUAGAUAUCAAGAGGAACACCUGCGGCGAAGGCGGGUUGCUGGGCCGACACUGACGCUGAGGCGCGAAAGCCAGGGGAGCAAACGGG
rnacentral:rRNA from 1 species